UCCUAUAACUUCUGCGGAAUGAGCCUUCAGGAACUGCUCUGCAGAUAUUAUAGGAUUGUGACAAGACAAGGGCAGGAGGAUUCUAUGGGGUUACCAAUUUUGCAUCGCUGUUUGAGUCACGUCAUGAAAAAUGAAGGACCUCUGCCGGAAACAUGCCUCAAGACAUUACCACCUGGCCAUGCAUGUGUUUGGUCGAAUGACACAGGCCACAACACUUGAAGAGAUGGAUGAGGUGUUUAUCAGUGCCACGAUUGUUUUCUCCAGUUCCCACAGUGGAACUAAUGUUGAGAAACAUUUUCAAAAUCUUCAGAAACUGUUGACUGAAAGAGGACAAUGUGGCAUUGAUGACACAGCCAUUUUGGAGCAAGACUUUGUGAAUGAAGUUGGACCAACACCAUUCCAGCAUCAUUUUGAGGAUAUUAUAGUAUAUUAUAGUAGAGGGA